CCCAGAACAAAACGAGUCGUGUGUGCCUACCCUUAAAUAUCGGGAGGAGGAAAUGGCAACAGUGAGACCUCAAC
rnacentral:misc_RNA from 1 species